UCAUUGAAAACAAUUCUCACUCUUCCUCUCAAGGCUGAAGUAGGAGUUGUGCUAGGACAAUUGCAAAAUCCUCCUUCCAGUUAGCAAACACAAUCUUUCACCACUUCUGUUUUUUAGCUUCUUAAAUCUCUGGGUGCUCCUCCCUUAAGGGUUUCUUGCAUCAGUUCUCAGUUUCGAGGAGUAGGAGAGAAUCUGCUAUUCUCGCCCAAACGAGAAUCCUCUAGCCUAAGGAAGAAUAGCAGAGAAUUCCCCUUUGCCUCUGCGCGAGCUGUCACUUAAGCGAGGCAUUUUGCCCAAGCGAGAACUCAAAAUGAUGCACUGCAUCCUCUGUUCCAGUUCUUGCCCAAGCGAGGAGGUUCUAGCUUAAGCGAGGGGACCCUAUCACUUGGGCGAGCCCUCUUAGCUUGAGCGAGAAUGAGGCAGAUUUAUUGCAAACUCUGUGAUUUCACUUAUAGGUUGAUUUACUUACUCUUAAAAGCAUGAACUUGUGACUACGUAUGUUUUAUGUGAUGAUAUUGUUAUAUGUUGUGCUUGGUAUGAAAUGAGACAUGAAUUGGCUAGUUGGGCAUUAACAUGGGAUUAUAAUGCUUGAGAUAAAAUGUGGAUUUGAUGUGAGAAACAUGGACAUGGCAUGAGUAUACGUAAUUCCAUGAAACUCUUUGCGAGAUUUCAUGGUGGUGUGGUUAAUGUAUGUCUUGAUAUAAGAGAUGUCUAGAUAAAGAAAAGUAUUUUGAACUCUGACAAUCGUGUUCAUACUCAUAUAGAGUAGAAUGAUUUAUGUGGUGAGAGUAGCAGGAGGUCCUAGUCUCUGGCAGGAUAAUGACCUUAGAUA